rnacentral:rRNA from 1 species
GGGCCCGCACAAGCGGUGGAGUAUGUGGUUUAAUUCGAUGCAACGCGCAGAACCUUACCAUCCCUUGACUUCCCUGUCGCGGGCUCAGAGAUGAGCCUUUCAGUUCGGCUGGACAGGUGACAGGUGCUGCAUGGCUGUCGUCAGCUCGUGUCGUGAGAUGUUCGGUUAAGUCCGGCAACGAGCGCAACCCCUGUCUUUAGUUGCCAUCAUUCAGUUGGGAACUCUAAAGAGACUGCGUGAUAGCGGAGGAAGGUGGGACGACGUCAAGUCCUCAUGGCCUUACGGGGAUGGGCUACACACGUGCUACAAUUGGCAGUGACAAUGGGU